GGUUUAUCAGUGUUUAAUUUGAUGAAUGCCAUCAUGGGAAGUGGCAUCCUUGGCUUAGCUUAUGUUAUGGCUAAUACCGGUGUCUUUGGAUUUAGCUUCUUGCUGCUGACAGUUGCUCUCCUGGCUUCUUACUCAGUCCAUCUUCUGCUUAGUAUGUGUAUUCAGACAGCCUACUUGGGCCCAUGAACUAACUACUUCAUGGUUCUGCCUGCACAUUGACUCACCUGUCUUCCGUUGAUUGAAUUCCUUCAAUCUUUGUAAAAUUCUCUGUGGAGGUAGGCUUUUCCUUUUUUUUUUUUUUUCAAUACAUACAUUCAUAUAUAAAGACUAGAGUAUAAUACAUAACUAACUCUCUUCCAACAGUUUGUUGGACUGUCAUAAAGGAUUAUUAUGCUCAGAUUGAAUUCAUUGGUAAGAGAAAGAGCUAUCAUGAGUUUUUAUGAAAUAACUUCUUCAUUUAUUUGCUGGUGGUAAAGGGUAAAGAGAAAUUUUCAUCUUUAUAAAAGUAAAGGAUUUCUUCACAUGAAAUUCUACUUUAGAUUUUAUGGAGAGUUUGGGGUCUAUCAGGACUUUUCAUGGGAGCUGAGGUGGAAUGUAAAGAACCUUAUUCUCUCUAGCCUUUGUUUGUCAUCUGUAAAAUGGCAAUGAUAACACUUCCUUCUUGGAAUUGUUCUGAGAAUGAAAUAAAAUAAUGUAUAUGAAAUGUC
rnacentral:sRNA from 1 species